AUCUCCUUCCCGGAGAACCCUUCCGGCAGCCCCUUCACCGUCGCCGGGAUGUUCGCCACUACCCAGUGAGUCCACGGCACAAUGGGUCCCCCAGGGUCAGGCGCGUCAAUGUCCUCCACCACCAGCGCCAGGGUCUGCGUUCCCGGCGGCAGGUUGUACCACUCCAACGGUGGGGAUAUAUUCUUCUUUGCCCCCUGCCCCUCCUCAGUGUAGUGCCGCGGUAGCUUCCCCUCGUUGCUGAACGCCGGUGACACUAGCCUGAACUCCUCGCUCCCGUCGCUAGCCAUAAUUGAAACAAUCUUAAAGAAAACAAAUAGAAACCUGUCUUUUUCUUUUCU
rnacentral:lncRNA from 1 species